rnacentral:rRNA from 1 species
AGAACGAACGCUGGCGGCAGGCUUAACACAUGCAAGUCGAACGGGUGUAGCAAUACAUCAGUGGCAGACGGGUGAGUAACACGUGGGAACCUUCCUAGGGGUACGGAACAACUCAGGGAAACUUGAGCUAAUACCGUAUACGUCCGUAAGGAGAAAGAUUCAUCGCCCCUAGACGGGCCCGCGUCGGAUUAGGUAGUUGGUGGGGUAACGGCCUACCAAGCCUACGAUCCGUAGCUGA